AACGAACGCUGGCGGCAGGCCUAACACAUGCAAGUCGAGCGCGCCUUCGGGUGAGCGGCGGACGGGUGAGUAACGCGUGGGAAUAUGCCCUUCUCUACGGAAUAGUCCUGGGAAACUGGGGGUAAUACCGUAUACGCCCUUUGGGGGAAAGAUUUAUCGGGGAAGGAUUAGCCCGCGUUGGAUUAGGUGGUUGGUGGGGUAAUGGCCUACCAAGCCGACGAUCCAUAGCUGGUUUGAGAGGAUGAUCAGCCACACUGGGACUGAGACACGGCCCAGACUCCUACGGGAGGCAGCAGUGGGGAAUCUUAGACAAUGGGGGCAACCCUGAUCUAGCCAUGCCGCGUGAGUGAUGAAGGCCUUAGGGUUGUAAAGCUCUUUCAGCUGGGAAGAUAAUGACGGUACCAGCAGAAGAAGCCCCGGCUAACUCCGUG
rnacentral:rRNA from 1 species